rnacentral:rRNA from 1 species
CCUACGGGAGGCAGCAGUGAGGAAUAUUGGUCAAUGGGCGCAAGCCUGAGCCAGCCAUGCCGCGUGCAGGAAGAAUGCCCUACGGGUUGUAAACUGCUUUUAUUUGGGAAUAAACCUUUCUACGUGUAGAAAGCUGAAGGUACCAAUUGAAUAAGCACCAGCUAACUCCGUGCCAGCAGCCGCGGUAAUACGGAGGGUGCAAGCGUUAUCCGGAAUCAUUGGGUUUAAAGGGUCCGCAGGCGGACCUAUAAGUCAGUGGUGAAAGCCUACAGCUUAACUGUAGAACUGCCAUUGAAACUGUAGGUCUUGAAUUCGGUCGAAGUGGGCGGAAUGUGUAGUGUAGCGGUGAAAUGCAUAGAUAUUACACAGAACACCGAUAGCGAAGGCAGCUCACUAGGCCUGGAUUGACGCUCAGGGACGAAAGCGUGGGGAUCAAACAGGAUUAGAUACCCUGGUAGUCCACGCCGUAAACUAUAUAUACUUCGUUCGUCGUAUAUACUAGUCGAGACGUAAGACGAAGUAGAUAAGUAAUACCACCGUACGGGAGGUACGAGUACGCGAGGUAGGUAACGUACGUAAAGUAAGUAAGUUACGUACGGUACGUAGAGACGACGACGACGACGACGACGGAGGGAGGGAGG